GUCCUAGCCGUAAACGAUGCAUACUAGAAGUAGGGAGGCUCAACCCUUUCUGUUUCGGAGCUAACGCGUUAAGUAUGCCACCUGGGGAGUACGCUCGCAAGGGUGAAACUCAAAAGAAUUGACGGGGGCCCGCACAAGCAGUGGAGCAUGUGGUUUAAUUCGAUGCAACGCGAAGAACCUUACCUGGGCUCGAAAUGUAGAGGACGAAUCAAGAGAUUGAUUUUCCCGAAAGGGUCUCUAUAUAGGUGCUGCAUGGCUGUCGU
rnacentral:rRNA from 1 species